UGGGGAAUUUUGCACAAUGGGGGAAACCCUGAUGCAGCGACGCCGCGUGAUUUAGAAGGCCUUCGGGUUGUAAAAAUCUUUUCUAUGGGAAGAAAAUGACAGUACCAUAGGAAUAAGGACCGGCUAAUUACGUGCCAGCAGCCGCGGUAAUACGUAAGGUCCGAGCGUUGUCCGAAAUCAUUGGGCGUAAAGGGUACGUAGGCGGGUAAGCAAGUUAGAAGUGAAAUCCUAUAGCUCAACUAUAGUAAGCUUUUAAAACUGCUCAUCUUGAGGUAUGGAAGGGAAAGUGGAAUUCCUAGUGUAGCGGUGAAAUGCGCAGAUAUUAGGAGGAAUACCGGUGGCGAAGGCGACUUUCUGGCCAUAACCUGACGCUGAGGUACGAAAGCGUGGGUAGCAAACAGG
rnacentral:rRNA from 1 species